rnacentral:rRNA from 1 species
UACGUAGGCAGCGAGCGUUGUUCGGAGUUACUGGGCGUAAAGGGUGUGUAGGCGGUUCUUUAAGUUUGGUGUGAAAUCUCCCGGCUCAACCGGGAGGGUGCGCCGAAUACUGAGGGACUCGAGUGCGGGAGAGGAAAGUGGAAUUCCUGGUGUAGCGGUGAAAUGCGUAGAUAUCAGGAGGAACACCGGUGGUGUAGACGGCUUUCUGGACCGUAACUGACGCUGAGACGCGAAAGCGUGGGGAGCGAUCCGG